rnacentral:lncRNA from 1 species
ACCGGUGCAUCGGGACUUCUCCUCCGCACAUGCCCGAACCACCUCAGCCGCGCUUCGCGCAUCUUCUCGUCCAUCGGGGCCACCCCCACCUUCUCCCGAAUAAUUUCAUUCCUAAUUUUAUCUAGCCUGGUAUGCCCGCACAUCCACCAAAGCAUCCUCAUCUCCGCGACCCUCAUCCUUUGAACAUGGGAAUUUUUUACGGGCCAGCACUCUGCCCCAUACAGCAUCGCAGGUCUAACCACGCUCUAUAGAAUUUCCCCUUGAGUUUGUGUGGAACUUUCCUGUCAUAUAGGACUCCUGAUGCAAGCCUCGACUUAGCCCACCCUGCUCCUAUACGAUGCGUGACGUCCCCGUCAAUCUCUCCAUCCCCCUGA